ensembl:snoRNA SNORA71 Small nucleolar RNA SNORA71
CCCUGUGUUUCAGGUGAUUACUGGCUGCCUCUGUCCUGGUCAUUGGUAACACAGGCUGAAGAGAAGCUGCAAGGUUUUCUGGAUGUUCACA